rnacentral:rRNA from 1 species
AAGUCGUAACAAGGUUUCCGUAGGUGAACCUGCGGAAGGAUCAUUAUUGAAUGAACUUGGUGUGGUUGUUGCUGGCCCCUUGGGGCAUGUGCACAUCCCACCAUCCUCAUCUCUCCACCUGUGCACCUCUUGUAGACUUGGUCUACGUUUUUUCAUAUACCCCAUAGCAUGUAACAGAAUGUAUCAUAUUAGGCGCUUGUGCCUUAUAAACCUUAUACAACUUUCAGCAACGGAUCUCUUGGCUCUCGCAUCGAUGAAGAACGCAGCGAAAUGCGAUAGGUAAUGUGAAUUGCAGAAUUCAGUGAAUCAUCGAAUCUUUGAACGCACCUUGCGCUCCUUGGUAUUCCGAGGAGCAUGCCUGUUUGAGUGUCAUUAAAUUCUCAACCUUAUCGGUUGGAUGUGGGGGUUUGCUGGCUCAGGUCAGCUCCCCUUAAAUGCAUUAGCUGGUGCCCCGUGUGGACUGUCUAUUGGCGUGAUAAUUAUCUACGCCGUGGAUGAGCACUGCUUCCAACACCACAAUUACAUGACAAUUUGACCUCAAAUCAGGUAGGACUACCCGCUGAACUUAAGCAUAUCAAUAAGCGGAGGAAAAGAAACUAACAAGGAUUCCCCUAGUAACUGCGAGUGAAGCGGGAAAAGCUCAAAUUUAAAAUCUGGCGGUCUCUGGCCGUCCGAGUUGUAAUCUAGAGAAGCGUUAUCCGCGCUGGACCGUGUACAAGUCUCCUGGAAUGGAGCGUCAUAGAGGGUGAGANUCCCGUCUUUGACACGGACUGCCAGGGCUUCUGUGAUGCGCUCUCAAAGAGUCGAGUUGUUUGGGAAUGCAGCUCAAAAUGGGUGGUAAAUUCCAUCUAAAGCUAAAUAUUGGCGAGAGACCGAUAGCGAACAAGUACCGUGAGGGAAAGAUGAAAAGAACUUUGGAAAGAGAGUUAAACAGUACGUGAAAUUGCUGAAAGGGAAGCGCUUGAAGUCAGUCGCGUUGGCCGGGGAUCAACCCUUUGCUUUUGCUGGGCGUACUUUCCGGUCGACGGGUCAGCAUCAAUUUUGACCGUCGGAUAAGGUCCAGGGGAACGUAGCAUCUUCGGAUGUGUUAUAGCCCUUGGUCACAUACGACGAUUGGGAUUGAGGAACUCAGCACGCCGCAAGGCCGGGGUAAUACCCACGAUUUCGUGCUUAGGAUGCUGGCAUAAUGGCUUUAAUCGACC